UAUUUGACUGACCGAUACUUGGCUUUAUACUGGCACUUAUUUAUUUAUUUAUUUUUUGUAGAAAUACUCCAUUGCAUACACUUUUUGCCCCACUAUUAUAUCUAUCAGUGUUUGCACACAGUGAUAAAGCUGAACUUCAACAACAAAACAGUUUAAUUAACAAACAUCUCAUAUUACUUUGGAUGUAUAACCUCAUGUAAACAUUUUUAUAAAAUUUUCUAAUAAAAGUGUGUAGUUAUUCAAACAUAAUCAUAAACAGCUGCAGGAAGUUCAGAGAGGAGGAAGUUCCUGUGUGUGUUUGUGACUGUUCUGCAGUGACUUACAGCUCAGAGCACUGAGAGCCUCAACAGAGAACUGAACUGAUCUGACUGAACAUGGACAGAUGCUUCAUACUGAUUCUCAUUGUGGGAACAGGUUUGGUGGCUGGAGACAACAUUGAGCCAGAUAAAGGGACAGACAAAAACACUGAAGAAAGAGAAACUGUCAAGCUGAGCUGCUCAUAUAGUACAAAUAGCCAAUAUGUUCGGAUUUACUGGUACAGACAAAAUCCAAACAGAGAACCUGAGUAUUUAUUACUCAAAAAUGCACGAUCAGCAAGUGCUUAUGAACACACCUCUGAUGAUCGGUUUCAGCUGACUGCAUUAUACACAUCCACUGAACUCACUAUUACUGAUGUACGUCUGUCAGAUUCAGCUCUCUAUUAUUGUGCUCUAAGAGUAGGAGCCCAGUGAAACAAAAUAUUAAACAUGCCGUACAAAAACCUGAAGCUCUUUUCACUUUGAAAAUAUCUAGUGAAAUCCACAAUCAAAACCACAAUCUAUCCAGCUCUGAAUGUAAUAAAAUAUGUGGUCACACCUGUGAGAGGUUGAAUCAGGCCUGCUAAAAAAAUUCCAAGUAUUGACAAUAUGUUAAGAUAUCACAACCUAUGUGGUUCCUUUUAUGCACAAAUACAUUCUUAAUAUAACAUCUUAAUUGCUUGUCAUGUAGUAAA